UGGAUUUUUAAGCGGUUAAGUAAAUAUCAUGGGGCAGGCACUGGGGGGCACAAUAUCCCAAAUAGCCGUAUUUGCAUCACAACCCUUGGAUGAGGUGAUUGCCCAACGUCGCCCAUCAUCAUCCCGGCAGGUUAAGUCCAGGAUGCCAUCCCCGUCACAGUCUGCACUCUGCAGGACUGCGGUGUCGUGGAUGCACCACCCGGAUGGCCUGGUGCAUGAAGCUGCGGCAAAAAAAACAGCAACGAUAAUAAUUGAUCAAUGCCAGAAGCAGAUCGGGCAGGUGGCCUAGCUAGGAAAGGCCACAUGAAGGGUGGAGGCCAGACCAGCUGGAAAUGAAAGGCCAGGCAGUGUAACUACGAUUUCUAGACGCAUUGAGCAGGUCGGUGCCACAAAGAGACUCAGGGCUUGCUUGCCAGCAGCCGUAGGAUAACCGUACAUGCAUGCAUGCAUGCAUGCAUGCAUGCAUGCCACCAAUACAUUCGGUGAUUGAGCAUUGCUAUGCGCUUGCAUGCAUGUUUUGUGCGAUUGGGCAUAUGUAUACAGUUGCCAAAUAUGAUGCCUGAGGGGCUUCAGGUAAGGUGUACACACUGCUGCAAUUCACUGCUCCGAAGCAAGUGGGGUUGAACAAUAAUAUGCUAUGAUAAUUCCGAGGGGCAAUGCCGGUUCGAGGGAAUUCCCUCGAACCAUCUCAAUUUCAUCGCAACGGCUGGGUUAUUACUACGUACCUGGAUCUGUGGGUGGCGAGAAUAUCUUGGGGCAGGCACUGGGGGGCACAAUAUCCCAAAUAGCCGCAUUUGCAUCACAGCCCGUGGAUGAGGUGAUCGCCCAACGUCGCCCAUCAUCAUCCCGGCAGGUAACAUCCAGGGCGCCAUCCCCGUCACAGUCUGCACUCUGCAGGACUGAGCUGUUGUGGAUGCACCACCCGGAUGGCCUGGUGCAUGAAGCUGGAACUGCGGCAAAAGCCAGCAACGAUAAUAAUCGAUCGGUGUCAGAAGCAACAGAAACAUUUCUAGAUGCAUGGAGCAGCAGGUCAGUGCCAUAAGGAAACGCAGCUCGCCUGCCAGGGUUUUAAAACCCCUAGGGUGCCUGCCAGUAGGGAAACCGUACAUGUGUCCAUGCCACCGAUACAAUCGCGGAUUUAGCAUAAUUAUGCGCUCGCGUGAAUGUGUUGUGUGACUGGCUGGGCAUAUGUACAUGCUCAUACAGUUGCUAAAUGCGAUGCCUGAGGGGCACUGCAAUUACUCCCGCCCUUGCUUGCUUACAGGAUCUCGUAGGUUGAAGCAUGAUAUGCUACAUACGAUGAUUCCCCUGAACCAUCUCAGAUUAUUCAUCACAUACAACUGCUGGGUUAUUUCUACGUACCUGGAUCUGUGGGCGGGGGGAAUAUCAUGGGGCAGGCACUGGGGGGCACAAUAUCCCAAAUAGCCGUAUUUGCAUCACAACCCUUGGAUGAGGUGAUUGCCCAACGUCGCCCAUCAUCAUCCCGGCAGGUUAAGUCCAGGAUGCCAUCCCCGUCACAGUCUGCACUCUGCAGGACUGCGGUGUCGUGGAUGCACCACCCGGAUGGCCUGGUGCAUGAAGCUGCGGCAAAAAAAAACAGCAACGAUAAUAAUUGAUCAAUGCCAGAAGCAGAUAGGGCAGGUGGCCUAGCUAGGAAAGGCCACAUGAAGGGUGGAGGCCAGACCAGCUGGAAAUGAAAGGCCAGGCAGUGUAACUACGAUUUCUGGACGCAUCGAGCAGGUCGGUGCCACAAAGAGACUCAGGGCUUGCUUGCCAGCAGCCGUAGGAUAACCGUACAUGCAUGCAUGCAUGCAUGCCACCAAUACAUUCGGUGAUUGAGCAUAGCUAUGCGCUUGCAUGCAUGUUUUGUGCGAUUGGGCAUAUGUAUACAGUUGCCAAAUGUGAUGCCUGGGGGGCUUCAGGUAAGGUGCACACACUGCUGCAAUUCACUGCUCCGAAGCAAGUGGGGUUGAACAAUGAUAUGCUAUGAUAAUUCCGAGGGGCAAUGCCGGUUCGAGGGAAUUCCCUCGAACCAUCUCAAUUUCAUCGCAACGGCUGGGUUAUUACUACGUACCUGGAUCUGUGGGUGGCGAGAAUAUCUUGGGGCAGGCACUGGGGGGCACAAUAUCCCAAAUAGCCGCAUUUGCAUCACAGCCCGUGGAUGAGGUGAUCGCCCAACGUCGCCCAUCAUCAUCCCGGCAGGUAACAUCCAGGGCGCCAUCCCCGUCACAGUCUGCACUCUGCAGGACUGAGCUGUUGUGGAUGCACCACCCGGAUGGCCUGGUGCAUGAAGCUGGAACUGCGGCAAAAGCCAGCAACGAUAAUAAUCGAUCGGUGUCAGAAGCAACAGAAACAUUUCUAGAUGCAUGGAGCAGCAGGUCGGUGCCAUAAGGAAACGCAGCUCGCCUGCCAGGGUUUUAAAACCCCUAGGGCGCCUGCCAGUAGGACAAGUUGGGUGUCGGCUUCAAGGAAGCCGGAAAAAGGGCGGGGCCCCUCUGCAUCCGUACAGGCCGGUAGCAAAGGUGGCAAGUGUGACAAUUGAUGGGUAGUGUCAACGCGGUGGGAGAUGUGCUUUGUUGCAGCAGUGCUGAUGGUGUGAGAGCUAAGCUUGCACCGGCGAAAUCGUCAGCACCGCCUGAGGGCUCCACGCGAAUCGCAUCCAUUCCGGGUGCAUGCCGCAUGGACAGUGCGGCAGACCGCAAGUCGGAAUGCCCGUGCGGGCAAAUGGUAACGAAAGCUGGGUGAAUUUCGGUGCUGUCUGUGAUGUUUAUCCCCGAAGCGCCAGCGGCCUCAGCAAUCCGCCCCACAGCCGCGGGCUUCAUCGGGGCACACCGCAAGUCUCAGGAGGCCCCGUGCAUUGGCCAAAGUAAAUGUACAAACAAGCAGCUUGUGUAUUUCAUAGAGAAAUGAAAGUAAAUUAUGUUGGCCUGCUGGUGGCAAGUCGGAUUGCCCAUGCCGGCAAAUGGUAACACAAGCUGGGUGUUCGAGUUAUCAUACGCUGUCAUCUCGGAAAUCAAUUAUGAGAUACACGGCACCUUUUGAGAUGAAAUAUAGCCCGAGAGGUGUUGAUGUGACUUUUGAGGUCGGUGAAUGGAGGCAGCUAAACUUGUUUGUGCUCAUACGGUCUUUGUUAGCUACAUGCGAGAUACCUUGCAAUAGAGAAUGCUGUAUAGUACCGAUAACGCGUUUCAGCCGGGCGAGAUAUUAUGUUUGGUCCGUUACAGACACACACACACACACACACACACACACACACACACACACACACACACACGGACAUGGGCAAUCCUACAGGUCGGGGCCCCCCUGGGCGCUUCGCGCUGGGGCCCCGCCCAAAAACCGUACAUGUGUCUAUGCCACCGAUACAAUCGCGGAUUUAGCAUAAUUAUGCGCUCGCGUGAAUGUGUUGUGUGACUGGCUGGGCAUAUGUACAUGCUCAUACAGUUGCUAAAUGCGAUGCCUGAGGGGCACUGCAAUUACUCCCGCCCUUGCUUGCUUACAGGAUCUCGUAGGUUGAAGCAUGAUAUGCUACAUACGAUGAUUCCCCUGAACCAUCUCAGAUUAUUCAUCACAUACAACUGCUGGGUUAUUUCUACGUACCUGGAUCUGUGGGCGGGGGGAAUAUCAUGGGGCAGGCACUGGGGGGCACAAUAUCCCAAAUAGCCGUAUUUGCAUCACAACCCUUGGAUGAGGUGAUUGCCCAACGUCGCCCAUCAUCAUCCCGGCAGGUUAAGUCCAGGAUGCCAUCCCCGUCACAGUCUGCACUCUGCAGGACUGCGGUGUCAUGGAUGCACCACCCGGAUGGCCUGGUGCAUGAAGCUGCGGCAAAAAAAACAGCAACGAUAAUAAUUGAUCAAUGCCAGAAGCAGAUAGGGCAGGUGGCCUAGCUAGGAAAGGCCACAUGAAGGGUGGAGGCCAGACCAGCUGGAAAUGAAAGGCCAGGCAGUGUAACUACGAUUUCUAGACGCAUUGAGCAGGUCGGUGCCACAAAGAGACUCAGGGCUUGCUUGCCAGCAGCCGUAGGAUAACCGUACAUGCAUGCAUGCAUGCAUGCAUGCAUGCCACCAAUACAUUCGGUGAUUGAGCAUAGCUAUGCGCUUGCAUGCAUGUUUUGUGCGAUUGGGCAUAUGUAUACAGUUGCCAAAUGUGAUGCCUGGGGGGCUUCAGGUAAGGUGCACACACUGCUGCAAUUCACUGCUCCGAAGCAAGUGGGGUUGAACAAUGAUAUGCUAUGAUAAUUCCGAGGGGCAAUGCCGGUUCGAGGGAAUUCCCUCGAAUCAUCUCAAUUUCAUCGCAACGGCUGGGUUAUUACUACGUACCUGGAUCUGUGGGUGGCGAGAAUAUCUUGGGGCAGGCACUGGGGGGCACAAUAUCCCAAAUAGCCGCAUUUGCAUCACAGCCCGUGGAUGAGGUGAUCGCCCAACGUCGCCCAUCAUCAUCCCGGCAGGUAACAUCCAGGGCGCCAUCCCCGUCACAGUCUGCACUCUGCAGGACUGAGCUGUUGUGGAUGCACCACCCGGAUGGCCUGGUGCAUGAAGCUGGAACU
rnacentral:lncRNA from 1 species